rnacentral:rRNA from 1 species
ACGGGAGGCAGCAGUGAGGAAUAUUGGUCAAUGGGCGAGAGCCUGAACCAGCCAAGUCGCGUGAAGGAUGAAGGUUCUAUGGAUUGUAAACUUCUUUUGUUCGAGGGUAAAGUGAGGGAUGCGUCCCUUAUUGCAAGUAUCGAACGAAUAAGCAUCGGCUAACUCCGUGCCAGCAGCCGCGGUAAUACGGAGGAUGCGAGCGUUAUCCGGAUUUAUUGGGUUUAAAGGGUGCGCAGGCGGCCCGUUAAGUCAGCGGUGAAAUGUCGGGGCUCAACCCGGGCACUGCCGUUGAAACUGGGGGGCUUGAGUACGGAUGAGGUCGGCGGAAUGUGACGUGUAGCGGUGAAAUGCAUAGAUAUGUCACAGAACACCGAUUGCGAAGGCAGCCGGCCAAUCCGCAACUGACGCUCAUGCACGAAAGCGUGGGGAUCGAACAGGAUUAGAUACCCUGGUA